rnacentral:rRNA from 1 species
AUUGAACGCUGGCGGCAUGCUUUACACAUGCAAGUCGGACGGCAGCACAGAGAAGCUUGCUUCUUGGGUGGCGAGUGGCGAACGGGUGAGUAUAUAACGGAACGGACCGGGGAAUUGGGGAAAACUAAAUGAAAGAUUAGCUAAUACCGCAUAAUCUCUUAGGGGGGAAGCAGGGGGCCUUCGGGCCUUGGGUUAUUUCGGCGGGCGAUAUCUGAUUAGCUAGUUGGUGGGGUAAAGGCCUACCAAGGCGACGAACAGUAGCGGGUCUGAGAGGAUGAUCCGCCACACUGGGACUGAGACACGGCCCAGACUCCUACGGGAGGCAGCAGUGGGGAAUUUUGGACAAUGGGCGCAAGCCUGAUCCAGCCAUGCCGCGUGUCUGAAGAAGGCCUUCGGGUUGUAAAGGACUUUUGUCAGGGAAGAAAAGGCUGUUGCUAAUAUCGACAGCUGAUGACGGUACCUGAAGAAUAAGCACCGGCUAACUACGUG